rnacentral:rRNA from 1 species
GAUGAACGCUGGCGGCGUGCCUAAUACAUGCCAGUCGAGCGAACGGACGAGAAGCUUGCUUCUCUGAUGUUAGCGGCGGACGGGUGAGUAACACGUGGAUAACCUACCUAUAAGACUGGGAUAACUUCGGGAAACCGGAGCUAAUACCGGAUAAUAUUUUGAACCGCAUGGUUCAAAAGUGAAAGACGGUCUUGCUGUCACUUAUAGAUGGAUCCGCGCUGCAUUAGCUAGUUGGUAAGGUAACGGCUUACCAAGGCAUCGAUGCAUAGCCGACCUGAGAGGGUGAUCGGCCACACUGGAACUGAGACACGGUCCAGACUCCUACGGGAGGCAGCAGUAGGGAAUCUUCCGCAAUGGGCGAAAGCCUGACGGAGCAACGCCGCGUGAGUGAUGAAGGUCUUCGGAUCGUAAAACUCUGUUAUUAGGGAAGAACAUAUGUGUAAGUAACUGUGCACAUCUUGACGGUACCUAAUCAGAAAGCCACGGCUAACUACGUG